GCUGAUAUAGCUCAGAUGGUAGAGCGCACCCUUGGUAAGGGUGAGGUCCCCGGUUCAAUUCCGGGUAUCAGCACCA
rnacentral:tRNA from 1 species